UUUUUUUUUCAUCUUUUUAGGGCCCCAACUCUUGGAACCAUAUAGGAGAUGAGACUGUGAUACUCUCUGGACAAAAUUCAUGUUUGUGGUAAUGGGUGUGUUAUUUACUUGAAGGAUACAUAAUAUCUUAAGGUACCUUGUGGAAUUUCAGCUUUCCUUAUGCAGAAGGAUUUUAUAUCCCCAGACUACUUGAAGAAGUAGGCAACUAAAGGCACUCAGGUUGUUGCUUGGACUGUGUAACAUCUUUGAUGAAAAAGAGUUACUACAAAUUCCAUCUUGGUUCCAACUCUUAUCACUGAGAGCAUGUUGGAAAACUGCAGUUCUAGCUGCUCCCCCAACACCCACCCAAGGAAACAUGUGCAAAAACUACCUGAUGGUCUCAAAUACCCCUUAUGGUAGCCCAAGCCCUGGGGAUUGGGUGGUUCAUAAAGCAGGAAUCGGUAAUUGAAUUUUUACCCAAACCAAAGCAAAACCCAGUGUUGCCAACAUGCUGCAUGGAAUGCCUGAGUUCAGAACUGUUGAUCUUGAAAAUCUAGGUUUGCAAAAGGCACUGCAGCUGUUGUCCUGAGCUGAGGCAUACACCUUAACCCAGUGAGGAUAAGCACAGAUUGAGUUGUGCAAUUUAGAGGUACAGAUGCAAAUGCAUAGGAAGUGCACCAUCACUCAGAGUUUUUUUUUGUCUUUUUAAGGGCGCUCACGGUCAUAUGGAGGUUCACAGGCUAGGGAUCGAAUCAGAGCUGUAGCUGCUGGCCUAUGCCACAGUCACAACAAUGCCAGAUCCGAGCAGGAUCUGUGACCUACGCCACAGCUAACAGCAAUGCUGAAUCCUUAACCCACUGAGUGAGGCCAGGGAUCAAACCUGCGUCCUCAUGGAUACUAGUCAGAUUUGUUUCUGCUGAGCCACGAGGGGAACUCCAGAGCCGACAUUUUAAAACUUGCCACACUGUAUAACUUAUUUCAAAUACUGUAUUCAGCUAUGUUAUCAAUGUACAGCCAAAUUUGUGGCUGUCAGACUUGUGACACACUAAAAAUCAUUAAAAGGAAAAAAGGAAAUGUGAAUGCAGAAACAUACAUUUAAUUACAUGCUGUAUUUAGUUUUCCAGUGGGAAAAUAUAGUUAAAACAAAAUUUGGAGAAAUUCAUUUUUGUGUUGAAAGAGCCCAAAUCUAAUCACGACAGUAGGAAUAUUUUGUUCUGGAAGUAAUUUUUUAGUGGAUUUACUUGUGGAUUAAAUUUUUUUUGUCUUUUUCAGGCUUCACCCAUGGCAUUUGGAAUUUCCCAGGCUAGGGAUUAAAUCAGAGCUGUAGCUGCUGGCCUACACCAUAGUCACAGGAACACCAGAUCCGAACUAUGUUUGUGACCUACACCACAGCUCACAGCAAUGCAGGAUCCUUAACCUACUGAGCAAGGCCAGGGAUCGAACCUGUGUCCUCAUGGAUACUAGUCAGGUUCGUUACCACUGAGCCAUGACAGGAACUUCUCUUGUGGUUUAUUUAUAAUUAAAUAUAUUUUGAAAUAAUAGAAGUUAAAUCUAAACGGCAUUUAAUGAAAUAGUACAGCGCGUGAAAAACUAUAUUAAGCGAUUAAGAACUGUGUAACUGUAUCGGUAAUAAAAUACUUGGCUAGUAAAUGUCAGCUUUUGAAAUAUGAAUGCCAGAAUAGCAGUAUAUUAUUUUACCCAGUACAUGGCUGGCACAUAGUUUAAAUGUCACUUGGCUUUCUGGCCCUUGAUUAGAUGUCUGUAAAAUGGGCUGUCAUUAUCCAGCAGUUUGGAUUUUCAGGUAAUAUCUUAAAAAGUAAUGGAAUGUGAAAGCAUUCUAUCAAUUGCCAAAUGCUUUAUAAGUCAAAUAAAUGUGGCCUUAUAUUCUAUUUCACAAAGUGUUGAGUUGCAGGAAACAAAUUAUCUGACUAUGUUACCAAAAGCAUAUAAUAAAGUUGCUGACUUUGCCGCAAGCUGUAAAAAGGAUGUAAUUGGAUGAUAGGUGGCAUCAAGUGAUAUCAUCGGAACCUGGAGCCUCAAGAAAGAACAGUGAGCACUUAAGCCUUUUCUUCCACCAUUCCCACCACUUAGACAUACCAAGCCUUUACUCACUUGUUAGAAGGGAAAAAAACUAUCCUAUAUUCCAUUUCUAAUUACUCAGUAGAAAGGAAAGAUACUUUGUUUUAACUUAAGCUUUCUUUCCAAGGAAUGAAAAUCCAACUAGUUAAUGAAUAUAAAGUGGGUUCCAUUUUUAGACCUUUAAGUAAAGGAUUUUUUUUAAAGGAUUACUGCAAUACUGUGGUACUAGAAUUUCCAGAAAAA
rnacentral:lncRNA from 1 species